rnacentral:rRNA from 1 species
AGAGUUUGAUCCUGGCUCAGGACGAACGCUGGCGGCGUGCCUAACACAUGCAAGUCGAGCGAGUGGAGUUCUUCGGAACAAAGCUAGCGGCGGACGGGUGAGUAACACGUGGGCAACCUGCCUCAUAGAGGGGAAUAGCCUUCCGAAAGGGAGAUUAAUACCGCAUAAGAUUGUAGCUUCGCAUGAAGUAGCAAUUAAAGGAGUAAUCCGCUAUGAGAUGGGCCCGCGGCGCAUUAGCUAGUUGGUGAGGUAACGGCUCACCAAGGCGACGAUGCGUAGCCGACCUGAGAGGGUGAUCGGCCACAUUGGGACUGAGACACGGCCCAGACUCCUACGGGAGGCAGCAGUGGGGAAUAUUGCACAAUGGGGGAAACCCUGAUGCAGCAACGCCGCGUGAGUGAUGACGGCCUUCGGGUUGUAAAGCUCUGUCUUCAGGGACGAUAAUGACGGUACCUGAGGAGGAAGCCACGGCUAACUACGUGCCAGCCGCCGCGGUAAUAC